rnacentral:rRNA from 1 species
UUGGAGGGCAGUCUGGUGCAGCAGCGCGGUAAUUCCAGCUCCAAUAGCGUAUAUUAAAGUUGUUGCAGUUAAAAAGCUCGUAGUUGAAUUUCGGGAUUCAUCCGUUGGUCGGGCUUCACGGUCCGCACUGGUGUGAUGGGUUCCUACCUUCUGAAUAACCGGCAUGCCAUUAAUUUGGUGCGCCGGGGAAGCAGAACUAUUACCUUGAAAAAAUUAGAGUGCUUAAAGCAGGCAAGUGCCUGAAUAGGUUAGCAUGGAAUAAUAAAAUAGGACGGCAUGGUUCUAUUUUGUUGGUUUCUAGGAUCACCGUAAUGAUUAAUAGGGAUAGUUGGGGGCAUUAGUAUUCAAUUGUCAGAGGUGAAAUUCUUGGAUUUAUUGAAGACUAACUUCUGCGAAAGCAUUUGCCAAGGAUGUUUUCAUUAAUCAAGAACGAAAGUUAGGGGAUCGAAGACGAUCAGAUACCGUCGUAGUCUUAACCAUAAACUAUGCCGACUAGGGAUCGGACGAUGUUAAUUUUUUAAUGACUCGUUCGGCGCCUUACGGGAAAC